rnacentral:pre_miRNA from 1 species
AAGGCCUUCAGUAACCCUCAAAGGCUUCCAUGGAAUCAUAGCAUGGCUUACGGUCAGAUUAAUCAUAUAUUUGACUAUAGUGAUGUGAAAAUCAUGGGAUCCUGUUGGUGGGUUACUGAAAGCUUU